AGUGAACGCUGGCGGUAGGCCUAACACAUGCAAGUCGAACGGCAGCACAGUAAGAGCUUGCUCUUACGGGUGGCGAGUGGCGGACGGGUGAGGAAUACAUCGGAAUCUACUUUUUCGUGGGGGAUAACGUAGGGAAACUUACGCUAAUACCGCAUACGACCUACGGGUGAAAGCAGGGGAUCUUCGGACCUUGCGCGAUUGAAUGAGCCGAUGUCGGAUUAGCUAGUUGGCGGGGUAAGGGCCCACCAAGGCGACGAUCCGUAGCUGGUCUGAGAGGAUGAUCAGCCACACUGGAACUGAGACACGGUCCAGACUCCUACGGGAGGCAGCAGUGGGGAAUAUUGGACAAUGGGCGCAAGCCUGAUCCAGCCAUACCGCGUGGGUGAAGAAGGCCUUCGGGUUGUAAAGCCCUUUUGUUGGGAAAGAAAAGCAGCAGGUUAAUACCCCGCUGUUCUGACGGUACCCAAAGAAUAAGCACCGGCUAAUUUCGUG
rnacentral:rRNA from 1 species